rnacentral:ncRNA from 1 species
GUUUCAGGGCGGGGUGAAAUUCCCCACCGGCGGUAUAGCCCGCGACCAUCCGGUGUUUCCGGGUGCUGAUCUGGUGCAAUUCCAGAGCCGACGGUAUAGUCCGGAUGAAAGAAA